UAUAGCUACUUCCUCACACUGUUCAUGUACCGUUUGUCUUAUUUAAAAGAAUUUUAUGAUUAGUAAUUUUAUUGUUAUUAGAUGAUAAAAUAUGAAUAGUAUUUUAUGUGUGACUAGUUUUUUUUAUAAAUUUUUUAAAUAAGACGGACGGUCAAGUUUUGGACACCGACAUCACGACUACACUUAUU
rnacentral:pre_miRNA from 1 species